GCAGUGUGAGAAAAAUAAAUUGCUUUUUGAACAUUAAAGCAUGGAGACAUGUCACAGUAGAGGCACAACAUACUAAUGUGAUCCUGAGAAUGAGCAUCAGAGGGCCCCUUUAAACUAUUCCCGCUUCCUGAAGCAAACAAUAGAAUUUCAAUUUAAAAUGAUACACCUAACACAAUAUACCGUAUGUAAGUUAGUAUGUGAACCUAAAUCUAAAAAAGAUCAUACAUCUUAGUCUCUUACUGAAGUUUAAAGUUAUACAAAAGCAAGUCAUAUCUGUCAUUUUCAAAUGUCAAACAAUUGAAGUUCUGUGUUGUCCAUUUGUCAGGUGUGGUGUUGGACACCUUAACAGCAGCAACAACAACAAAAACAACAACCACUUCCUUUGAAUAUUGGUAAUAAUACAUUUAUUCCAUUUAUAUAAUAUUUACCUUAUUUAAGUGUGCCCCUAUGUUUGGGUUAUUUUCAAAAUAGUUAUUUUCAAAAUAUAAUAUACUCACAAUAAUAAUAAUACUAGUAAUGACAACACUAUUUCAUUAUACAGCUAUAUUAUAUUAAUUUAAUUACACAAUAUGUACCACAAGCAAGCAGAGUUUCGUAUGGAAAUGAAAAUUGUAUUUGAAUCCUUUCGUCAUUUCGAAAUGCAUUGCCCAAACAUACCAUUAAUAACAUUAAUAAAAGAAAUACUGCUUUAACAACCCAAUUUAAAUACAUUAAUUGGCAGGUCAUAUAUCUAUUUAUUUAAAGUUGUAUUUAUUUAUUUGAUGUGUUAAUGACAUUAAGGAAGAGUCAGAUCUGUGUUCAUUGGAAUAAAAUAUCACCUCUCAUUGGCUGUUUUUAAAUGUUGUAGAUUCUUCUGGCUUUCACCUUGUUACUUAACCUACUUGCAACAUACUGUAUAUAAUUAAUAGUAAAAUAA